GAAAGGGCGAUCCCCGCGUGACUGCGCGGAGGUACUACUUUUGGCGGAACCAGAGCGGAGGCAUCUCUCGGAGUCGUUGUGGGACCACCCACCUGAUAGGCGGCCACGACUCUGAUUGCUUGGGCUCCUCCUGAGACCUGCAGGUUGCUGACAGUUGACCAAAGGACCAAGUCAUAGGAUCAUUGUUUCAGAGCUGGUAAAAGCCCUUGGACACCAUCCAGUUCGACUGCCUAAUUUUAGUCAUGAAGAAACUGAUGGUUAAGUAAUCUGUCUAAUAUUUAUAUGUGCACUAUUAGGAUUUGAAUACAGCCUCUGUGAAGCAUUUCCUGAUUCUUACAGUUACCGCUACUCUCUACAAACUAAAUAAUUUAAUAGCUUAAAAUAUUAAAUCUUGAAAGACACAUUUUAUUAUUAAAUAUCAAAUAACAAUAAUAAAUGACUUAAAUAAUUAAAUGUUCCAUGCUUUUUUUUCUCUUAAAAAGUUAAAACCAUCAUGAAAAAUCUUAUGUAGGAAAAAUUCCUAAAUCCAUUAACUUAUUUGUGGGAGUGUUAAAGAAAGUUAGGAAAGGAAGGAAAUGAAUAACUCAUUUGCUCAUCUCUGCAGUUUUAUUUCUGCAAGAUGUUUUUGGAAUUGCAUUCAAAUAGUUCCUGGGUAUCUUAGUAAGCUACCAGUAUUUCACAUUUAUUUUACAUUAUUUUGAAUUUUGAAUAUUCAUAGUUACUUUGAGUAGAUUUUAUUUUCAGUAUCGCUGCUCCUGGGUUUUAUUGUUGAUAUACAGGAAUUCUCAUGAUUUAUUUUAUAUCCCAAAAUUUUGCUGAAUUUAUUAGUUGUUUUAAUUAAUUUCAAUUGCCUCUCUAGGGUUCUCUAGAUUGACUGCAGUCUAUCACAUUGUGUGAAAAAAAGGGAUAGUUUUCCUUUCUCUUUACUUCCAUUUAUUAAAUGUCUUUUUCUUGUCAUUACUAUAGCCAGGAUUUCUUAGGCCUUUGUUAAAUAGUAAUAAUGAAAAUGGAUAUCUUUUCUUUACCCCUAACCUUCUGAAACAGCUUUUUUUAUAGGGAAUGUUUGUUUUUGGUUUUAGAAAGACACUACUUACUUUUGUAAGGAAAAGUCCAUUUAUUUCUGUGUUUUCUAGGCUUGGGUUUUUUUUUAAUAGAAACAAGUAUUGGAUAAUGUUUAAAGUCUUUUUGGUAUAUUAAUAAAAUAUAUAAUGAUAUCCUGAAUGUACAAUAAAAUGUAAUUAAUAAAAUUUG